GAACCCAGCAACAGGAAGUCUGUUAGCCAGGGACUCACAGAUAAUGCCUCUGUGGCGUGCCAGUGGGUAUCCGUGAGAGGGGAAGGCUGCUGGGUUCUGAUAUUACAUCCUCAUAAGUACUAUGGGAAAACUCUUUAAAAGCUCAUGGUUUGUGGUCUAUGCUGGUUUUUGUAAUUGUGUCGUCGUGGCAACCAUUUGCAAAGCAUCCCAAGUACUUCUGCCGCUCUGAAGCCCCACCCGGAUUCUCCCUGACUUUAUGGGAAGUUUGUGUCUGGGGAUUGAACUCGGGUCAUCAGGAUACAAGCAUCUAUACCACUGAGCCAUCUCUCCAGCCAGCACCUUUGAUUCUGUGUUGAUUGUUCCUGUUGGAAAGAGGCUAGAGUCAGCCCAUGAGGUAUACAAACCAGACAGCACAGUCUUGAGAAGAGGGUUCAGCCAAGAUCUCAGUGCUCACUUGCCUUCUGUAGCGGGCAUCCCCGCAAGCAGAGCUCACUUGUGCAAUCCCGGGAACUGGGCUGUCUUGUUGGCUGGAAAACACAAGAUCUUCCGGCUAUGCACGUGGGUGUCUGGGUAUCACCGGAUGGUGCUUUCACUGUUAUCUGAGUAAGAGCAGAAGUCUGGAGGCUGUCCGGGCACAUCAAAGCAUGUGCAGAGCUCAGAUAAAGGCCUUCUGGUUGCGCCCUCCUCAUUGCCUGCGGGAGAACGUGGGGACCAUGCUCAUCCCGGAACGUUCAACGGGUUCAGAUUUCAUGGAGUAAACUCAACCUUGUUGGUCGUUGGUUCCAGAAAAUUCUCCUUGGCCCUCACUCAGCCCUUCUCCUAGCUCAGAGAGAAUUCCUUCCGAACUGCGCCUUUACCUUCCUGUGGUCCACCCCUCCUCUGUAAAGAUUCCUUUACACUUGGAGCAUCUCUUAUUUUUGCUCACAGCCUCACUGGCAAAUAAAUAAAGAGAAGUAUAUAAACACACAA
rnacentral:lncRNA from 1 species